AGUUGAUGAUUGUGCCUUUAUUGUUGGGCUAGUUUCACUUAGUUUUUGCUCCUGUCAUUGAAUGAGUUCCUGUGUUGUUGUCGGUGCAGAAGCAAUGUUUCUGAUUUAGGUCACUUCUUUGUACAUGCCAUACAGGUUCUUAACCAACAACUCAUUAAGUGGGGAAGUACGUCAGUGGGUAUUGGACAGCAAGAAGAACUUGUGAGUCUACUUUAAGCUGAGUAUCUUCAUUUCAUUUGGCUGUGAAAUUUUCUAUACACUGUUGAAGAGGUAUGCAUGCCUUCUUUGGAUCAUAAUGACCUUUUUGGGUGUGAGUUGGGAAGAACAUACAUUCAUACAUUCAUAUUGAUGUCCAUAGAGUAUUUGGUUGCUGUCAUGUUAAAAAAGUAUACAUGAAAAACUGGAAAUAUUAUGGCAAGUGAUAUGCAUUAAGUUUAAAGGAGUCGGCUAAGAAAAUAAAUGUAGGCUUAUUGAAUAUUGAUACUUAUUUCUACUCUUUUUAAUAUUGAGAAAAUCUUAUCUUUUUAA